CUGCAGUUACAGUUAUAUCUUGAGAAUGUGUUAGUUUGAACUGUGAAACUUGUCAUCAGCACAAAAAAGGGCUUGGGGGUUUUUCAGAAAUCGAAGGACCUAACCUACAAAAUAUUUUUAUACAAAUGUGCUUUAGUGUUAUGAGUAUCGGUCAAAGAAAUAACACUUCAUAUCUAUUGCAGGUGCAGAUUGGUGUAGGCUUUGUGCUGCCUUAUAACAGUGGCAGUAUAUUUAAAGUGUACAUCAGAUGCCAAGUGUGCAAUAGAUGUGGGCCUGUGGACACCAGCAGAAGCUGGGGAAAGACGCCUGACUGGGCAGGCCUGGCGCACAGUUUGGAUUCAACCAGAAAGCUUGCGGCAACACCGGAGAAAGUGGCUGCUGUGAAGAGUGCAGAUUGGUGUGGGAUUUGUGAUGCCACUCAACAAGUGGCAUUACAUACUAAAGUGUACCUCCGAAGCCAAGUGCGCAUUAGGUCUGGCACAGCACCUGUGGACACCAACACAAGCUGGGGAAAGAAGCCCGACUGGGCCGGCCAGCCGGACUAUCUCUGAUGCAUCUGGGAAGCUUCUGGCAACACCAGAGAAAGUGGCUGCUAUGAAGAACUGCCUGGAGAAGUACAUCGGGGAACAUCCGAUGGGGCCACCAGCACCACCUCCAGAGCACCACCUUGCUUCUGUAACGAAGCACCUUUGGAGCUUCUUCACAGAAGCGGGCGCGAGGGCAAGCGAGUAUGGAAGACGUGAAUCGCCUUAACCUAUUG